GACGAACUUUGGCGGCGUGCUUAACACAUGCAAGUCGAACGGAAAGGCCCUGCUUUUGUGGGGUGCUCGAGUGGCGAACGGGUGAGUAACACGUGAGUAACCUGCCCUUGACUUUGGGAUAACUUCAGGAAACUGGGGCUAAUACCGGAUAGGAGCUCCUGCUGCAUGGUGGGGGUUGGAAAGUUUCGGCGGUUGGGGAUGGACUCGCGGCUUAUCAGCUUGUUGGUGGGGUAGUGGCUUACCAAGGCUUUGACGGGUAGCCGGCCUGAGAGGGUGACCGGCCACAUUGGGACUGAGAUACGGCCCAGACUCCUACGGGAGGCAGCAGUGGGGAAUAUUGCACAAUGGGCGGAAGCCUGAUGCAGCAACGCCGCGUGCGGGAUGACGGCCUUCGGGUUGUAAACCGCUUUCGCCUGUGACGAAGCGUGAGUGACGGUAAUGGGUAAAGAAGCACCGGCUAACUACGUGCCAGCAGCCGCGGUGAUACGUAGGGUGCGAGCGUUGUCCGGAUUUAUUGGGCGUAAAGGGCUCGUAGGUGGUUGAUCGCGUCGGAAGUGUAAUCUUGGGGCUUAACCCUGAGCGUGCUUUCGAUACGGGUUGACUUGAGGAAGGUAGGGGAGAAUGGAAUUCCUGGUGGAGCGGUGGAAUGCGCAGAUAUCAGGAGGAACACCAGUGGCGAAGGCGGUUCUCUGGGCCUUUCCUGACGCUGAGGAGCGAAAGCGUGGGGAGCGAACAGGCUUAGAUACCCUGGUAGUCCACGCUGUAAACGGUGGGUACUAGGUGUGGGGUCCAUUCCACGGGUUCCGUGCCGUAGCUAACGCUUUAAGUACCCCGCCUGGGGAGUACGGCCGCAAGGCUAAAACUCAAAGGAAUUGACGGGGCCCCGCACAAGCGGCGGAGCAUGCGGAUUAAUUCGAUGCAACGCGUAGAACCUUACCUGGGUUUGACAUGGAUCGGGAGUGCUCAGAGAUGGGUGUGCCUCUUUUGGGGUCGGUUCACAGGUGGUGCAUGCCUGUCGUCAGCUCGUGUCGUGAGAUGUUGGGUUAAGUCCCGCAACGAGCGCAACCCUUGUUCACUGUUGCCAGCACGUUAUGGUGGGGACUCAGUGGAGACCGCCGGGGUCAACUCGGAGGAAGGUGGGGAUGACGUCAAGUCAUCAUGCCCCUUAUGUCCAGGGCUUCACGCAUGCUACAAUGGCUGGUACAGAGAGUGGCGAGCCUGUGAGGGUGAGCGAAUCUCGGAAAGCCGGUCUCAGUUCGGAUUGGGGUCUGCAACUCGACCUCAUGAAGUCGGAGUCGCUAGUAAUCGCAAAUCAGCAACGCUGCGGUGAAUACGUUCCCGGGGCC
rnacentral:rRNA from 1 species